rnacentral:misc_RNA from 1 species
GAUGAAGAACGCAGCGAAAUGCGAUAAGUAAUGUGAAUUGCAGAAUUCAGUGAAUCAUCGAAUCUUUGAACGCACAUUGCGCCCGCCAGUAUUCUGGCGGGCAUGCCUGUUCGAGCGUCAUUUCAACCAUCAAGCCCCCGGCUUGUGUUGGGGACCUGCGGCUGCCGCAGGCCCUGAAAACCAGUGGCGGGCUCGUUAGUCACUCCGAGCGUAGUAAUACAUCUCGCUCAGGGCGUGCUGCGGGUUCCGGCCGUUAAAAAGCCUUAUUUACCCAAGGUUGACCUCGGAUCAGGUAGGAAGACCCGCUGAACUUAAGCAUAUCAAUAAGCGGAGGA